UAGUCAUACGCUCGUCUCAAAGAUUAAGCCAUGCAUGUGUAAGUAUAAAUAGUUAACUUUGAAACUGCGAAUGGCUCAUUAUAUCAGUUAUAGUUUAUUUGAUGAAGAAUACUAAUUGGAUAACCGUAGUAAUUCUAGAGCUAAUACAUGUAUAAAGUCUUGUAGACUGCAUUUAUUAGAAUGAAAACCAUAGGUUUCGGCCUAUUCGUGAGUAAUAUUAACUAAUCAUAUCGUAUGCUUAUGUAACGAUGUGUCUUUCAAGUUUCUGCCCUAUCAGCUUUCGAUGGUAGUGUAUUGGACUACCAUG
rnacentral:rRNA from 1 species